CUUAACAAUACUAAGUCUCCUGACUGAGAAAUGUAUGUGUAUGUUUAUGUCUGUGUUUGUGAAUGUUUGGAAUUGCAUCAGAGAUCAUGUAAGGUGAAGAGAAAGAGUACAAAGUGUUUCUAUGGCCUGUCUCUGGACUCCUGCACAUUCCGAACCAUGGAAGGUCACUACAGGAAAAGAUAUCUUCAUUAAAGUGCAACAGCACACUGAGAGCAACACACCACCACAGCAGUUAAUUUUGGAAAGGCUGCUGUAAGCUCCACUAGUGACUGACAUUUUACAGAAGACAGAUUGAAGCAAGCAGCAACAUUGAAUGCUUUAUCAGGGCAAUUGCUGAAGGUUUCUCUCUGGAUCUGGAUGAAUCAUAAAUUUGGGCAACUCUGUAAAUUCUUGGAAAAGCCUAUGUGGUAUCUGAGGUAAUCUUUUCUACCUGAUUCCAUGCCACUGGUCUCCAUUCCUGGGAAGAGAUUCAGCACCAGCAGCACAUACCACUGUGAGGGUCAUGGGACGAGAGCCUGAACCUGGCUGAACUGAGAAGACCACCACACCAGCACCAAAGAGCAACUAGGAGACCGUGAUAUUCACGUGGACACUCUCAGCUUGCAGCCUCUGCUCUCUCUAGGGGCACUGUCCCACCCACCCUUGAGCCUGAGAAGAAAAGUUGGUAGAGGUGUUGUUCCCUCACUUCCAACAGAAAAGAGGUGUCCAGGCCCUCAAUUCCCUGAGGUUAGAGCCCUCAUGGCUGCACUCAAUGUGGUGGCCACCUGCCAUAUGUAGCUACUGAGUACCUGGAAUGUGGCUGGUUUGAAGUAAUAUGUGCUGCAAACAAAAAAUGCACGGUG
rnacentral:lncRNA from 1 species